AGCGAACGCUGGCGGUAGGCCUAACACAUGCAAGUCGAACGGCAGCACAGUAAGAGCUUGCUCUUACGGGUGGCGAGUGGCGGACGGGUGAGGAAUACAUCGGAAUCUACUUUUUCGUGGGGGAUAACGUAGGGAAACUUACGCUAAUACCGCAUACGACCUACGGGUGAAAGCAGGGGAUCUUCGGACCUUGCGCGAUUGAAUGAGCCGAUGUCGGAUUAGCUAGUUGGCGGGGUAAAGGCCGACCAAGGCGACGAUCCGUAGCUGGUCUGAAAGGUUGACGAGCCACACUGGAACUGAGACACGGUCCAGACUCCUACGGGAGGCAGCAGUGGGGAAUAUUGGACAAUGGGCGCAAGCCUAAUCCAGCCAUACCGCGUGGGUGAGGAAGGCCUUCGGGUUUUAAAGCCCUUUUGUUGGGAAAGAAAAGCAGCAGGUUAAUACCCCGCUGUUCUGACGGUACCCAAAGAAUAAGCACCGGCUAACUUCGUG
rnacentral:rRNA from 1 species